CAGCCGCCACGGUAAAACGGAGGGUGCAAGCGUUAAUCGGAAUUACUGGGCGUAAAGCGCACGCAGGCGGUCUGACAAGUCAGAUGUGAAAUCCCCGGGCUUAACCUGGGAACUGCAUUUGAAACUGUCAGGCUGGAGUCUUGUAGAGGGGGGUGGAAUUCCAGGUGUAGCGGUGAAAUGCGUAGAGAUCUGGAGGAAUACCGGUGGCGAAGGCGGCCCCCUGGACAAAGACUGACGCUCAGGUGCGAAAGCGUGGGGAGCAAACAGGAUUAGAUACCCGGGUAGUCCCUGUCUCUUAUAC
rnacentral:rRNA from 1 species